GAACUAGGAAUUUUUCAACACCGGAGAACCUUUCUGCGUAUGAUGGUUUGGAACUGCGCCUUAAAGGUGAUGGUCGUAGGUACAAACUCAUUGUUCGUACCAGCCGUGACUGGGACACUGUUGGUUAUACCGCAAGCUUUGACACUGUAGAAGGAUGGCAAUCAAUACGCCUGCCAUUUUCUUCUUUGAGGCCGNCCAAUUUUUCGAGCUCGGACUGUAUCAGAUGCUCCUCCAUUUGAUCAAAGCAAUAUUGUCUCAUUGCAGCUUAUGUUCAGCAAGUUUGAGUAUGAUGGAAAACUGAAUCCAACUUUCAUAGAGGGUCCAUUUCAGCUUCCAUUAUCAAGCAUAAGGGCCUUUAUAAAGGAUCCUAUAACUCCCAGGUUUGUACAUGUGAGCUCUGCAGGAGUAACCCGACCAGAUAGGCCUGGCCUUGAUCUCAGCAAACAACCUCCUGCUGUACGCUUGAACAAGGAAUUGGAUUUUAUUCUAACUUUCAAGUUGAAGGGAGAAGACUUGAUACGUGAAAGUGGCAUGCCAUAUGCAAUUAUCAGGCCUUGUGCUUUAACUGAGGAGCCUGCUGGAGCAGAUCUCAUUUUUGACCAAGGAGACAAUAUAACGGGUAAAAUAUCAAGGGAAGAGG
rnacentral:misc_RNA from 1 species